GACGAACCGUGCGAACGUUGUUCGGAUUCACUGGGCUUAAAGGGCGCGUAGGCGGCUUCCCAAGUCAGGGGUGAAAUCUUUCGGCUUAACCGGAAAAGUGCCUCUGAUACUGGGCGGCUCGAGGGGGGUAGGGGCAGGCGGAACUUCCGGUGGAGCGGUGAAAUGCGUUGAUAUCGGAAGGAACGCCGGCGGCGAAAGCGGCCUGCUGGACCCCUUCUGACGCUGAGGCGCGAAAGCCAGGGGAGCAAACGGG
rnacentral:rRNA from 1 species